UUGCUCCCUUUGGCAGCACAUAUACUAAAAUUGGAAUGAUACAGAGAAGAUUAGCACGGCCCCUGUGCAAGGAUGACAUGCAAAUUCAUGUGGAAAAAAAGAAGACA
rnacentral:snRNA from 1 species